rfam:Pan troglodytes isolate Yerkes chimp pedigree #C0471 (Clint) chromosome 2B, whole genome shotgun sequence.
GUAGCUAUAGUUUAAUCAAAACAUUAGAUUGUGGACCUAACAAUAGAAGCCUGCAACUUCUUAUCUACA